CUCUAGGUCAUACCAUGAAUGAGAAUUGUGUGCCUGGAGCCAGGUGAAACUCUAUUAGAAUCUGAACCCUGUAGACCCAUUGUUUGUUUUGUUUUGUUUUAAAAAAAAAAAAAGCUACAUAUACCAGAAGGAACCAGGUCUGAUGCUGCCUGACACCAGAGGCACCACACACAAGAAGACAUACUCUAAAAAAACCUGUCCCUUUUGAGUCUCCUCAGCCUCAAGAGCAUCUGGAAGACAAGGUUACUUCCACCUGCACCUUCAAAAUUCUCUUCAGACAAUCAAAAGGAUGCCCGAACUUCUUAGAUGCAGAAAUACAGAAACCCAGACCCCUAGUGGGCACCCACGGAAACGCAGCAUCCUUAGGAUCAGCACUGCUCAACAGCCAAGACAGAAGAUAUGGCAGAAGUACAACACUCAAGACAAAACAACUUGAACCAGACAGAGUUCCUCGUAGAGAACCAAGUGCUUACAUCACAAAGGAAUACAGGGGCUGCUUUCAAAAUUAUUGCCAAGUCAAGAAACUCUGAGGGUUCCUAGACAUAAUUUUUUUUUAAAUUGCAUCUAACAGUUUCUGG
rnacentral:lncRNA from 1 species